CGACGCACACAGGAGUGGAGCCAGGGGCUUAUUUGACUCAACACGGGAAAACUCACCCGGCCCGGACACCGUAAGGAUUGACAGACUGAGAGCUCUUUCUUAAAUUCGGGGGGGUGGUGGUGGAAGGCCCUUCUUAGUUGGAGGAGGCGAUUUGUCUGGUUAUUCCUAUAACGAACGAAAAUUCUGGGCUUAUUAAAUAGACGGUAUAUUUUAAAAGUAUAUCCGCAACUUCUUUAAGAGGGAACAAGCGGCGCCUUACCCAAUGAAUAUAGGACAAUAUGGCAGGCGGGGAUGGCCCUAAGAAGCGGCCUCACACCCGCCCUCAAUUAAGAAGACAAGGGGGUAAUCUCGAUUCGGAGGACGGGUACACAGGAAUCUUCUGCUUGGAAAGGAUGGGAUAUAUCCUACAAAUCCAGAAUGCGCAACCGGGAUAACCUGCUUGACACCCGGCUCCAUGGACUAAGGCUACAGAAGGCCUAGGCUUCUGGAAUGCAACAUUCAGAGAUUUAUGUCGGGAUC
rnacentral:rRNA from 1 species